ensembl:lncRNA
GGGUGCCAGAGGUAGCAGGAUCUAUCCAAAAGGCGCCUGCUGGAAGAGGCAGGAAAUUGAACGAGUUGACAGAAGAACCCCCUCAGGGCUGGUUUACAGUCAUUAGAGCCAUUUACCAAAUCAGCCAGCCCCACCCAAAGCCAAGCUCUGUUCCCAUGGUGCAGACUGCAUGGCUGCACCUGCCAUGUCCAGGUUGAAGACACAAGUGUACAAGAGGUUUCUUCCUGCACGGAGAGCUUCUUUGGCUGCAUGUUGUCUGUCCACAGCAAAAUCUUCCAAAUGUUUCUGUUUUGAUUGUUCUUGUGAGGAUGUGGGCAGAAUGUCUGAGGACCAUUUGAACUGGGGUUCACAGGCCACACAGAAAGCGGGG